ensembl:lncRNA
UUUCUACACCAUCUCCAGUAUUUUUAUUUAGUUUGUCUGCAAAUAAAGAGUAGACAAAAUAUAGGCCAAAACAUUAUUUACAGACACACACACACAGAGUAAAACAGGCUGCGGCUUCUUCGAAAUGCCUGCAGUCAUUGCGGUGAGUCCCAAAUCGCAGGUCCCGUCCUCGCCUUCCCAGCAGCCCAAAUCACCAAAGUGAGAGCAGGGACAGCGUGUCGGCUGAUUCACCGCUGAGUGAGUCAUCGUGGUGUUAUGGUGAUGAUUUGAUACUGAGGUCUGGGUAACCGUGAAUCCUGUCAGGACUUGGCGAGAGGUGAACUCUCUUAAGGUUCAGCAGCUCAAAAAAACCCUGAGUGAACAGGCUGCUUCUGCUUAGCAGAAACAUUCAGGGGGACGGUUAAAGUUGUGGUCGCAUCAUAAACUGAAGAUCAGCCAGGAGGGAAGCCUGUCAAGAUUGCAGCUAAAGAUUGAUGGAAAGACGGUGGCAGACAGUCCAUUCUGGACAUGAAUUGAAGGUGGAGGUCGGCCAGCUCCUGUGGAAGAAGCACACUCUGGAUGACCUUCAGCACGCUGGGAGCCGGCGUCCUCUGUGUGUCAUAGGAAGUGACUGAAACACAUGCACACACACAGCAGCACAUGUAUGUGGCGGACUCGGGAGGUAAAUCCUGUUUGUUAAAGCUCUGGAUCCACCUUCACACCGUUACACUCUUUAUGUAUUAACACGUGACGUCAUAGCACUGUGGGACUCUGGUUUUGUAGUGUUAUUAACUACAAGCAUAAAAAAAAACAAAAAAAAAACGUACUUCUGUUAACAUACGUACACGUCCACAGGUAUGUGUUGCAUGCAUGGAGGAAAAAAGCAGGCACUUCAUGUGUGAACGUCUCUGAUCAGAUGAAGGUUGUUUGGUGACGACACCUCGAUGAGCGUUUGACGCUGUGUUUACAGCUCUGCCUGCAGUAAAGUUGACUGUACAGUCUGUGUUAUUGUUGUAAAUUAAAGAGUGAAUGUGUGGGGAGUUUUUAAAGUGUCCUCAAGCGUUUGAUUUUUCUGAUUGAGCUCGAGUUCAGCGAUUCGUGUGGAAAAGCUUUAAACGAGAGAUGAAACAAAGCUGACGUGAAAGGUUUCCUGAGGUUUGGUGUCUAUUAGCUCUUUGUUUUGGUUUUUCUGCUCGACGACCACUCCUGCUGGUUUUUUACAUGUUAGAUAUAAAAGAAAAUGUUUUCUGAAGCUGCUCUGUUUGCUUUUGUUGUGUUCCUUAUUCUUUGUGUGUUUUCAGUCUUUUUUUUUUAAUCUUUUGUUUUAUUUGUUGAAUCCUAUUCAUCACUUCAUUAAAUUAACAAUUCAGCCUCGUUUCAUUAGUUGUUUCUUUUUAAAUGUAAAGAUUUUAAAAUUUUAGUCUAAAUAACAAAAAACAAAACCAAAGCAUCCUUUGUGAUUCUAAAAGAAAAACUGAAUAGAAAAUAGAAAUCUAUUUGACUUUAAAGUCAAAUUAUUUUGGGAAUGACUGACCUUGACAGACAGCUUCAGUGAGGCCAAUGCGGAAAUGCAUUCUUUCUAAUGGCCACCAGGGGCAGACUUCUCUGGUUGCAAAAACAAAUAUGCUUGUAUAAAAGUUUACAAGAAAACCUCAAAUUCUCACUUGAAUACUUUCCUGAUGUGUUUUUGAUCUUAGUUUCAAGUCAUUAUACAACAUGAAGCUAUUUUUGUAAAAUAAUCCCAAUAAAGUUAAAAAGGUUUAAGCAAUAAGCCUCCAUCUUUCCUGGUGCCUCCACUAAGAUCUGGCUUCAGUUUGGAACCAUUUCAGCCUCUUGCAGCUUCAGGUACCUGAACCCUGUGGUGUGUUUUCCACUGCAUUCAGAUCAAUCACUUUCGAGUUUCCUUCCUUUUUAU